GGAUGUAAGUAUAUUCAUAAUUGUGAUGCAUGCGCGUGACGUGUCACAACCAUUGGUCCACAAAAACUCAUUUCCAAUCCCGACGUUUUUCGGGUUGGAUCAGACCAGGUUCCUAACACGCAAUAAAUAGCAACGCCAUGGCCAAUAGAUACUCCAAGAAAACCUUACAUCGCCUAAUCUCUCCGUCAACAAAACCUUCGCCUCUCCGUCGAGAAACACUGCCAUAGCCUCCCCUCCUCGAAGAAUGAACGGCAACAGCACCUAUGAAACAGCGUGGGCUGAUCAAUGGGACAACGGCCCUGAUCCUGUUUACAACCACCAGAACGGGAAGAGCAGCAGCAGCAGUUC
rnacentral:lncRNA from 1 species